GCCGCGGUAAUACGGAGGGUGCGAGCGUUUAUCGGAAUUACUGGGCGUAAAGCGCGCGUAGGCGGCUUGAUAAGUCGGAUGUGAAAUCCCCGGGCUCAACCUGGGAACUGCAUCCGAUACUGGCGAGCUGGAGUGCGAUAGAGGGGGGUAGAAUUCCUAGUGUAGCGGUGAAAUGCGUAGAUAUUAGGAGGAAUACCGGUGGCGAAGGCGGCCCCCUGGAUCGACACUGACGCUGAGGUGCGAAAGCGUGGGUAGCAAACAG
rnacentral:rRNA from 1 species